rnacentral:rRNA from 1 species
GUAGGUGGCAAGCGUUGUCCGGAAUUAUUGGGCGUAAAGCGCGCGCAGGCGGUCCUUUAAGUCUGAUGUGAAAGCCCACGGCUCAACCGUGGAGGGUCAUUGGAAACUGGGGGACUUGAGAACAGAAGAGGAAAGCGGAAUUCCAAGUGUAGCGGUGAAAUGCGUAGAGAUUUGGAGGAACACCAGUGGCGAAGGCGGCUUUCUGGUCUGUAACUGACGCUGAGGCGCGAAAGCGUGGGGAGCAAACAGGGAUUAGAUACCCUGGUAGUCCACGCCGUAAACGAUGAGUGCUAAGUGUUAGGGGGUUUCCCGCCCCUUAGUGCUGCAGCUAACGCAUUAAGCACUCCGCCUGGGGAGUACGGCCGCAAGGCUG